UUGCCACGCCCGCUCAGAAACUACAAAGGAAUUGACGGGGGCCCGCACAAGCGGUGGAGUAUGUGGUUUAAUUCGAUGCAACGCGAAGAACCUUACCUGGUCUUGACAUCCCGGAGACCCUUAGGAAACUAGGGGGUGCUUCCAUCUGGAAGAAUCUGGAGACAGGUGCUGCAUGGCUGUCGUCAGCUCGUGUCGUGAGAUGUUGGGUUAAGUCCCGCAACGAGCGCAACCCUUGCCUUUAGUUGCCAGCAGUUCGGCUGGGCACUCUAAAGGGACUGCCGGUGUUAAACCGGAGGAAGGUGGGGAUGACGUCAAGUCCUCAUGGCCUUUAUGGCCUGGGCUACACACGUGCUACAAUGGUCGGUACAAAGGGUUGCCAAGCCGCGAGGUGGAGCUAAUCCCAUAAAACCGAUCGUAGUCCGGAUCGCAGUCUGCAACUCGACUGCGUGAAGUCGGAAUCGCUAGUAAUCGUGAAUCAGAAUGUCACGGUGAAUACGUUCCCGGGCCUU
rnacentral:rRNA from 1 species